rnacentral:rRNA from 1 species
GACGAACGCUGGCGGCGUGCUUAACACAUGCAAGUCGAACGGACAGGCCCGACUUUUGCGGGUUGCUCGAGUGGCGAACGCGUGAGUAACACGUGAGUAUCCUGCACUUGAAUGAGGGAUAACUCCAGGAAACUGGGGCUCAUACAGGAUAGGAGCUCCUGCUGCACGGUGGGCGUAGGAAAGUUUCGGCGGUAGGGGAUGGACUCGAGGCUUAUGCGCUUGAUGGUGGGGUAGUUGCUGUCCAAGGCUUGGACGGUUAGCCGGCCUAGGAGGGUGACCGGGCACAUUAGUACUGAGGUACGGCCCAGACGGCUACGGGACGCAGCAGUGGGAAAUAUUGCACAAUGGGCCGAAGUCUGAGGCAGCGGCGCUGCGUGCGUAAUGACGUCCUUCGGGGUGUAAACAGCUUUCGCAUGAGACGAAGCGUGAGUGACGGUAAUGGAUAAAGAAGCAACGGCUAACUACGUG